rnacentral:rRNA from 1 species
UACGUAGGGUGCAAGCGUUAAUCGGAAUUACUGGGCGUAAAGCGUGCGCAGGCGGUUUUGUAAGUCAGAUGUGAAAUCCCCGGGCUUAGCCUGGGAACUGCGUUUGAAACUACAAGGCUAGAGUGUGGCAGAGGGGGGUGGAAUUCCACGUGCAGCAGUGAAAUGCGUAGAGAUGUGGAGGAACACCGAUGGCGAAGGCAGCCCCCUGGGUUAACACUGACGCUCAGGCACGAAAGCGUGGGGAGCAAACAGG